UAGCGUGGUCAGGCUUACAUAUGAUCCGGUCGCUUGUGAGGAUCACCUUCGGGCAGCGACACCCACACUCCCGUAACCUGCAAGGGAGUACACACUGUGUGGUACAUCUGCCCACCUUUGGAAGCAGAUAUCAUCUUUGUUGAUGAUGAAGGUU
rnacentral:sRNA from 1 species